AUGAUGGUCAUUGGCUUUUGUUUCUUUUGUGAUGAUAUUGCAAUGCUUACUUUACAUGAUUUGCGCAAUUCAUCUACUACACCAUGCCAUGAUAACAUAGAACCAAAUAUGCUUUGUUUCGGAUGUUGUCAAUAUUCUCCAUAUGAUGUUUCCACUAAUGAUCAUGAGGAGACCCCCAUAGUUUCCUCAUACAUAUUAGGAGAUUUUGAUGCAUUCCAUACUUUGCAUGAUUACCAUAAUUGCGUGCACCAUAUGCAUUCCAUGAAUAACAGUGCUCUACCUAUUUCUCAUGAUGCAUUACAUAAUUUGAGUCUCCAUUAUGCUAUCAAUAAUAAUCAACCUCUCAUGAUUGAUGACAUUUUUCUAUAUCACACAUCUCAUUUAUUUGAGCAUUGGCUAUUUUGUGCUAACCAACACAUGCACGUGCGCAUCAUAAUGGAUGAUGUGUACAUAUACCACACACACACACACGCACACAAUUUUCCCUUCGUCUUUGUUUUGUGUAGGUACUCACGUAUACUUAUCAACCUCUCAAUCCCAAGAGUUGACGAAACGAGCUCUUGA
rnacentral:rRNA from 1 species